UACGGGGGGGGCAAGCGUUGUUCGGAAUUACUGGGCGUAAAGGGCUCGUAGGCGGCCAACUAAGUCGGCUGUGAAAUCCCCAGGCUUAACCUGGGAAUUGCAUCCGAUACUGGAUGGCUUGAAUCCGGGAGAGGGAUGCGGAAUUCCUGGUGUAGCGGUGAAAUGCGUAGAGAUCAGGAGGAACACCUGCGGUGUAGACGGCUUACUGGACCAUAACUGACGCUGAGGCACGAAAGCGUGGGUAGCAAACAGG
rnacentral:rRNA from 1 species